UUUUCUAGGGUUCUAGCUUCUUCCACUUUUAUCUGCUGCUGCGUGUUAGUUCCACGUGUUGGUCAUCGGGAUCAUUUGGCCCGUAGUGUCAGGAUUUCUAUUUGCUUCCAGUGGCUUCCAAUUGCUUCUAAUUGCUUUCAUUUGCUUCAUCUCUCCUGAAAUGAACAAAAAAACCUGCGUUAAUCCAACCUUAGAAUCCCGAAACCAAAAUUCAUCCAGAUCGUUUCAAUCUCCAACGGAAAAUCGAAAUAUCCAGUCGCUUGAUUCUCUAUCUAAAAUGCCCACUCAUCGUUGCCUUAUCUCUGAUUAUUCAGUUGGCCGGCGACGGCUUCUAGGAUUCUAGCUCGACUUCUCUUUCAAAACUCAGCUCGAGUGCUCGGAUGCUCGAUUUUCCGACAUGGCGAUUUCUGCUGAUGACCAGAGAACUAGACCUUGCUAUUAUCGGAUUCCUGAGUGAAUUUGGUUUUCGUUUGUUUAGGGAUUUUGUUUCUAGUAUCCGUUUUUUGACUGGUUGUGCAUCUCUGUAAAGCUAGAUCUGUAAACGUUUUUUCUGUUGUUUUGCAUGGAACCAGAGCCUUUCCAUGCUCGAGCUCCACAGGUAUGGCACCGCCCUUUUACAUGUUUUUGCUUUGAUUCCAGUUUUUUCCAAGGCUGACGUGGCGAUUCUCUGCGAGGAUUGCAAUGGGAGAAGGUGGUUGCUCUGUGAUUUUUGCAAAGGGCAGAAAACGAAUGUGAAAUCCUAGACCAAUCGAAUCUACGGCCGAUGCCCAUCUUGCAGAACUGUGAGUUUUGAACUCCUCCUCACAAGGGAAAGCCUAAUAACUUUUUGUUUCAGAGGCUAUGUCAGAAUAAUGAAGGACCUAAGAGAGCUUUACUUGGAAGUAGAAGUCAAGGUUGAUCCAGUUGUUUCAUUUUGUGAAGAUGUGUAGCCUUUGUCAAUCAAAUGCUUUGCUGAAACAUCCAAUAAGAAGAAUAAAAUAACUAUGAUUGCUGAGCCAUUGGAGAGAGGACUUGCUGAGGACAUUGAGAAUGUAUAUAAGCUACAGUGUUCGUUUCUGCAAUGCAGUGACUGCUUCAAGGAAAAUGUGCUCUUAUGGGAUAUUCUAUGUUCAUGUAACUGUCAAUGGGGAAUACUAGACUAGCCAUUUUUGUAAAUCAAUGACAAGGCAUUUCACAAUGUCUUUUCUGUAAGUUACAUAAACUUAGACAGCUUUGUAAAAAUAUUUGCUCCAUUUUCUCCUUAAUGUUUAUCUUAAUCUUUGGUUA